rnacentral:rRNA from 1 species
CCUACGGGUGGCAGCAGUGGGGAAUAUUGGGCAAUGGGCGCAAGCCUGACCCAGCAACGCCGCGUGAAGGAAGAAGGCCCUCGGGUUGUAAACUUCUUUUAACAGGGACGAAGAAAGUGACGGUACCUGUUGAAUCAGCCACGGCUAACUACGUGCCAGCAGCCGCGGUAAUACGGAGGAUGCGAGCGUUCUCCGGAUUUAUUGGGUUUAAAGGGUGCGUAGGCGGGCUGUUAAGUCAGCGGUAAAAGCCAGGGGCUCAACCCCGGCGAGCCGUUGAAACUGGCUGUCUUGAGAUGUCGAGAGGUAUGCGGAAUGCGCAGUGUAGCGGUGAAAUGCUUAGAUAUUGCGCAGAACUCCGAUUGCGAAGGCAGCAUACCGGCGGCGAUCUGACGCUGAGGCACGAAAGCGUGGGUAUCGAACAGGAUUAGAUACCCUUGUAGUC